rnacentral:rRNA from 1 species
CACGGGGGCAACCCUGGUGGCGAGUGGCGAACGGGUGGGUAAUACAUCGGAACGUGCCCAGUCGUGGGGGAUAACUACGCGAAAGCGUAGCUAAUACCGCAUACGAUCUACGGAUGAAAGCGGGGGAUCGCAAGACCUGGCGCUUGAUGAGGGGCCCGCGUCUGAUUAGCUAGUUGGUGAGGUAAUGGCCCACCAAGGCGACGAUCAGUAUCCGGCCUGAGAGGGCGGACGGACACACUGGGACUGAGACACGGCCCAGACUCCUACGGGAGGCAGCAGUGGGGAAUUGUUCACAAUGGGCGCAAGCCUGAUGACGCAACGCCGCGUGGAGGAUGAAGGUCUUCGGAUUGUAAACUCCUGUUGCCCGGGACGAAAAGCUCCGACCUAACACGUCGGAGACUGACGGUACCGGGUGAGGAAGCCCCGGCUAACUCUGUGCCAGCAGCCGCGGUAAUACAGAGGGGGCAAGCGUUGUCCGGAUUUAUUGGGCGUAAAGCGCUCGCAGGUGGUUCGUUGCGUCGUGCGUGAAAGACCCUGGCUCAACUGGGGGAUGUCGUGCGAUACGGGCGAACUGGAGGCCAGUAGGGGGAUGCGGAAUUCCGGGUGUAGUGGUGGAAUGCCUAAAGAUCCCGAGGAAGACCA